rnacentral:rRNA from 1 species
UGCAGAAUCCCGUGAAUYAUCGAGUCUUUGAACGCAAGUUGCGCCCGAGGCCUCGGCCGAGGGCACGUCUGCCUGGGCGACGCAC